UGGGGAAUAUUGCACAAUGGGCGAAAGCCUGAUGCAGCAACGCCGCGUGAGUGAUGAAGGUCUUCGGAUUGUAAAGCUCUGUCUUUUGGGACGAUAAUGACGGUACCAAAGGAGGAAGCCACGGCUAACUACGUGCCAGCAGCCGCGGUAAUACGUAGGUGGCGAGCGUUGUCCGGAUUUACUGGGCGUAAAGGGUGCGUAGGCGGAUGUUUAAGUGAGAUGUGAAAUACCCGGGCUUAACUUGGGUGCUGCAUUUCAGACUGGAUAUCUAGAGUGCAGGAGAGGAGAAUGGAAUUCCUAGUGUAGCGGUGAAAUGCGUAGAGAUUAGGAAGAACACCAGUGGCGAAGGCGAUUCUCUGGACUGUAACUGACGCUGAGGCACGAAAGCGUGGGUAGCAAACAGGAUUAGAUACCCUGGUAGUCCACGCCGUAAAACGAUGAGUACUAGGUGUAGGAGGUAUCGACCCCUUCUGUGCCGCAGUAAACACAUUAAGACUCCGCCUGGGAAGUACGAU
rnacentral:rRNA from 1 species